UCCAAUCUGCUCACUGAAAUUUUAAAGAGCCGCAGUAUAUUGACUGUGCAAAGGUAGCAUAAUCAAUAGUUUUUUAAUUGAAAACUCGUAUGAAUGAUUAGACAAGAAAUUUAUUUUCUUUAUUUUAAUAAAUUGAAUUUAAAAUUUAAGUGAAAAUGCUUAAUUGAAUUUAAAAGACGAGAAGACCCUAUAGAUUUUUAUUAUUUAAAUAAAUUUUAUAUAAUGAUUUAAUAAAAUAAUUUAAUUGGGGCGAUUUUGUAAAAUAAAAAACUUAAUUUUUAAAUACCAUAAAUAAUUGAAUAUUUUGAUCUAAAAUUUUUAAAGAAAAGAUUAAAUUACCUUAGGGAUAACAGCGUAAUUUUAUAUAAGAGUUCAUAUCUAUAAUAAAGUUUGCGACCUCGAUGUUGAAUUAAGAUAAUAUAUUGGAGUAG
rnacentral:rRNA from 1 species